rnacentral:rRNA from 1 species
UACGGGGGGGGCAAGCGUUGUUCGGAAUUACUGGGCGUAAAGGGCGCGUAGGCGGUUUGCUAAGUUGGAUGUGAAACUCUGGGCUUAACCCAGAGCCUGCAUCCAAAACUGGCAAACUUGAGUACUGGAGGGGAAAGCGGAAUUCCUGGUGUAGCGGUGAAAUGCGUAGAUAUCAGGAGGAACACCGGUGGCGAAGGCAGGUCUCUGGGCUGACACUGACGCUCAUGCACGAAAGCGUGGGGAGCAAACAGG